UCUUUCCCCCCGCGAGUCUAGCAUAUCAAUAAGCGGAGGAACAGACACCACCAGGGAUUGCCUCAGUAACGGCGAGUGAAGCGGCAACAGCUCAAAUUUGAAAUCUGGCCUUCGGGUCCGAGUUGUAAUUUGCAGAGGAUGCUUUUGACGAGGUGGCGACCGAGUGCCCUGGAACGGGCCGCCGUAGAGGGUGAGAGCCCCGUAUGGUCGCACUGCCGAGUCUCUGUAAAGCUCCUUCAACGAGUCGAGUAGUUUGGGAAUGCUGCUCUAAAUGGGAGGUGUAUGUCUUCUAAAGCUAAAUACCGGCCAGUGACCGAUAGCGCACAAGUAGAGUGAUCGAAAGGUGAAAAGAACUUUGAAAAGAGAGUUAAAAAGUACGUGAAAUUGUCAAAAGGGAAGCAUUUAUGACCAGACUUGGGCGUGGUUGAUCAUCCGGCGUUCUCGCCGGUGCACUCUGCCCGCCUAGGCCAGCAUCAGUUCGCCUCGGGGGAGAAAGGCUUCGGGAAUGUAGCUCCUUCGGGAGUGUUAUAGCCCGUUGCGUAAUGCCCUGGGGUGGACUGAGGUCCGCGCUCGCGCUUGGAUGUUGGCAUAAUGGUCAUCAAUGACCCGUCUUGAAACACGGACCAAGGAGUCGUCUUCGUAUGCGAGUGUUCGGGUGUCAAACCCCUACGCGAAAUGAAAGUGAACGCAGGUGGGAGCUUCGGCGCACCACCGACCGAUCCUGAUGUUCUCGGAUGGAUUUGAGUAAGAGCAUACGGGGCCGGACCCGAAAGAAGGUGAACUAUGCCUGUGUAGGGUGAAGCCAGAGGAAACUCUGGUGGAGGCUCGCAGCGGUUCUGACGUGCAAAUCGAUCGUCAAACAUGGGCAUGGGGGCGAAAGACUAAUCGAACCUUCUAAUAACUGGUUUCCGCCGAAUUUCUCCCCGC
rnacentral:rRNA from 1 species